rnacentral:lncRNA from 1 species
CAUCCCUCCUAGUUGCCUUUGGUUCUUUCUUUAGUGUUGAGGCUUUUGUGAGCUUCCAACCUCCAUAAUCACAUGUCUGUUCCUGUUGUCCUUGUUCAGGUCAUGUUUAGUGUAACUUAAUGGGUAUAGCUCUUUUGCAGCUUUUUAAAGGCAGAUAUGAUAAGACAUAUGAGCUGAGUAUGAUAGAUGGGGAGUGGGAUGAGGGAGAAUAAAUGAAUACAGCACCACACUAAGUUUAAUGACGACAGUCAUUGAGAUGAGGACUACUGAAGGAAAGAAGAAGAGGAGGAGGAAAAGGAGAAGAAAGAUCGAGUUUGGAACUAUUGGUAUGAAAUGCCUAAUAAAUAUCCUAGAGCAGAUAUGGAGAUGGUAGGGGAAUACAUGCACCAGAGUCCUUGGAAGAAGAUUUACAUUGGAUCAUAUCACCUAAAGAUGACAGAGUAGGACACCAAGAACAAAAUGCAGGACACUAUCAUAGGUCCAGGAUUCUGAUUUAAAGCAAAACAAACAAACAAAAAAAAGACAUAGCAACGGGAGAUGGAGGAGAGGACACUGGGCAUGAGAUACAUGCAAACAACAACAAAAAAAUGGGAAAUUAGUUUUCUCAACAGCAAGAGAAGAAAGGUUGUGGGAACCAGACCAUGAAGCACUACUGUGAAAUGAAGAUUAUAGAGGAUCAGAUUUGGCCUUAUGGGGGUCCUUGAUGUCCAAGAUCAGAGCAGCUUCAGAUCCAAUACAUGGCUUAAUUAGAGGAGCUAUCUUAUAAUUGCUCUAGAUUCUUGGUGAAAGGAGAAUUAGUUAUCUUGUGAAAACUAAGGAGGAAGGAGGAGGCUUGAGAGCUCUGUGAAUAAAAAAAGCUGUAACAUAGUAAUCUGAUGAACAAAUCCACGUGGAAAGACAAGAGGACUUCUGGAUAAACAAAUAAUUCUCUUGGCACUUAAGGUUAUAAAUUUAAAAUAGAAGCACUGUGCUUUGUAUAGUCUUCCCAAACAUGUCAACCUUCCCAGGUGAAUGGAAGCAAAGAACAAGAUUUAAGCUAUGGUAGGAAGGGUGCUGGGGCUUUGGAAAUCAAUAUGAAAGGAUGAUUGUAUUAGAAUGGAAGUAAAUCAGACAUGUGGAUAGGUAGACAAGGGAGAAAUGGUGGUAUCAAAGAUCAAUAGGAUCAAAGACAUUUUUAAAAUGGAGAUGCACGAAAGAGUAACAUAGAAAGAUGUGGUAUGACUGUAAGUUGAAAUUUUGGUAAUGACUUGGUGUUUUGAUGGUUCAGUUAAAAGCAUUUGAUGAUGAUGUAUUGGCAAUGACGAGGCUUAGGAUACACUGGAUAGUAACAGUGAAUGGCC